UUCAUGCUCAGUUUGGCGUCGCGGGCCGCCUCCUCUCUACUACAUGCACUAAGGCCAUUUGUGAAGCUCUCGGCAUUUUAUUACAAUUUACGGCUUCUAUGAACUUUUCAGCUCCAUUUAUACGGAUGGAAUGUUGUUACAUAAGGACUUAUUAAAAAUAUGAAGCUGGGAAAGACUGCCGUUGUUGGUCAUUAGCCUUUGAGUAAAAACUUAGCGACGCCCGAAGACAGCAGUGACGUUUUUUUCGGACAAUCUUUUUUCUCUUAUUAAUGGCGCAGUUUUGUUUUUAAAUUUGGUAUUACUAUAUAUAUGCAUAUAUAUUUGUCGGAUGACUAAUAUAAGGUUUUUAUGACCUGAUAGAAAUAAACAAAAUAAUAUAUAAAAA